rnacentral:misc_RNA from 1 species
UUACAUUGCUUGUUCAUCUGACGACACAAAUUCAGAGUCUGCAACCCCGGCGAGCCCGCGUCAGAGUCAAUCCAACGGCUGUUUCCAGCGUCUCGCCGAAGCAACGUCGAGUUGCCACGGGUGGGAGUUCCUUUCAGGAGUCUCGGUAAUGAUCCUUCCGCAGGUUCACCUGUUGGAUGGUUAGCUAAACGAACUACAGAGCGGGAGGAAUCAAGAUAUAACCCACCUACGGAAA